rnacentral:tRNA from 1 species
GCCGACAUACACCGUAAUUGGUAGCGGACCGGUCCAGAAAACCGGAGCCAUCCGUGGUCUGUGGGUUCGAGUCCUACUGUCGGCGCCA